GGCUCAGAGUGGCUACAUAUGUCAAGAGGUUGUAAGGUACUUGAAUCAUUUGGUCAUCAGGUAGUUUGUGUCCAUACCACAGAAACAAUGCGUCGAGCCCUGCCCAUAUAUCUAAGUGCCUUUUUGAUUAGCUCUGUCUUUGCUGGAGGUUCCUGGUGUGCCAACACGGCAAGAGCCCGAGCAGCUGCCCUGGGUUUGGACCUCCCUAGGACCCAGUUUGUCCCUUACCAUCUUCGACCAAUACGCCAUAGAAGUUUUGAUCCCAUAAAAACCCACUAUGAAAAUAAUGAUGGUCCCAAAGAGGUUGAGUUUGAGCCUAUCCUUCCGCACAACGGUGAAAUUCAAGGGGCUGGAUAUCCAAAUGACUGGGCCUAUGGACAAGUCUUCCCCAGAGGCUUUCAACCCAAACCGUCUACACUAAACCAUCACGGUUCUGAUCUCAGUUUGGCUGACUCCUCUGUCUACACUCCCAAGGGACAAUUUGUUAGCAGCCACAAGCCCAACUUUGAGCAAGUCAAGAAUACUGUGCCUCGACCAAAUGUGAUGGUAGCCCCUAGUCAGUUUGAGUACUCAGAGAAAGUGGACAAUCGAGGCUACUAUAAGCCUGUUGUAGUUCAGCCUGUCGCCAGCAGACGUAGAACAGCCCAGAGUGUGGUUUCACGACACCAGAGCAGAGGUGCUGUACCCUAUGGAAAAAGUAUCCUGUGGUCAUGGCCACAGUAAACUUUUCCUUUAAAUCCGCUCCACCAUCCCAGAGUGGACUCAUCACCCCCCGAGCUAAGAAAAUUCUGAUCCCAGGGCAUGAUGCUGUCCAUUCUGUGAUCAAAGAGCUGAAAUAUGAAGCAGUUUGAUUUAGUGUCAGAAAAAACAGGGAUCCGGUUGGUUAAGAUCCUAACGGACAAACUUUCCUUUGCAAACUACCUUUGUCUGAGAAGCCAACCAUACCAUUGGUGAGCAAAUUGGUGACCUUAUGCACUUUUUAAGGGCAAAACAUGUAAGUUGUGUUUGUAAUCCAGUACAUUUACUUAUCCAUGACAUCACUGUUCUGAAUUACUAUUUGGUUAUGGCUCUUUCCCCCCCACUGUCCAGUGUUUAUCCUUCAAAUAAAAUGUCCAUUAUG